rnacentral:rRNA from 1 species
GCCGCUGCAGAGUUUGAUCCUGGCUCAGGAUAAACGCUGGCGGCGCACAUAAGACAUGCAAGUCGAACGGAAGUCGUUACAAUAGAAGUGGAUUGAAGAUUUAUCAGAUUGAAGCGGAAGCUGUAACAAUGGCUUUAGUGGCGGACUGGUGAGUAACACGUAAGUAACCUGGCUAUUAGAGGGGAAUAACAGUGAGAAAUCAUUGCUAAUACCGCAUAAGCUUGUAGGAUCGCAUGAUCCAGCAAGAAAAGGAGCAAUCCGCUAAUAGAUGGGCUUGCGGCUGAUUAGCUAGUUGGUUAGGUAACGGCUGACCAAGGCGACGAUCAGUAGCCGGGCUGAGAGGCUCAUCGGCCACAUUGGGACUGAGAUACGGCCCAGACUCCUACGGGAGGCAGCAGUCGGGAAUAUUGCGCAAUGGAGGAAACUCUGACGCAGUGACGCCGCGUAUAGGAAGAAGGUUUUAGGAUUGUAAACUAUUUUAGACAGGGAAGAAAACAGACGGUACCUGUAGAAUAAGCUCCGGCUAACUACGUGCUAGCAGCCGCGGUAAUACGUAGGGAGCAAGCGUUAUCCGGAUUUAUUGGGUGUAAAGGGUGCGUAGACGGGAUUGCAAGUUGGUUGUGAAAUCCCUCGGCUUAACUGAGGAACUGCAACUGAAACUACGAUUCUUGAGUGCGGGAGAGGAAAGCGGAAUUCCUAGUGUAGCGGUGAAAUGCGUAGAUAUUAGGAGGAACACCAGUGGCGAAGGCGGCUUUCUGGACCGUAACUGACGUUGAAGCACGAAAGUGUGGGGAGCAAACAGGAUUAGAUACCCUGGUAGUCCACACUGUAAACGAUGGAUACUAGGUGUAGGGGAGUUAUAUACUUUCUGUGCCGAAAAGCAAAACGCAAAUAAAGUAUCCCACCUGGGGGAGUACGACCGCAAGGGUUGAAAACUCAAAGGAAAUUGACGGGGGGCCCGCACAAGCAGUGGGAGUAUGUGGUUUAAAUUCGAAGCAAACGCGAAGAACCUUACCAGGGCUUGACAUAUACAGGAAAUAAGCUAGAGAUAGCUUA